CAUGAAGGACGCAUAUUUUCAUAUAGCAAUUAACCCCCCACACAGGCACUUCCUUCGAUUUGUAGUAAACAAGGUGCACUACCAAUUUGCCGUCCUUCCCUUCGGCUUGUCCGCGGCUCCGAGAGUGUUCACCAAAUGUAUGGCUGUCGUGGCAGCAUACCUUCGUCGACAAAGGAUACAGGUGUUCCCGUAUCUAGACGACUGGUUGGUGCGCGGCCGCACCAGGGAGCAAGUUCAAGCUCACGUCCAGAUAAUACUGCAAACAUUCCACGAGUUAGGCAUUCUACUCAACAAAGAAAAGUCCACUCUGGACCCAACCCAGAGAAUAGAGUUUAUUGGGGCAGUCUUAGACUCCAGACUCGCCCGAGCUCUUCUACCAGACAAUUGGUUUCACACCAUCACAGGCAUCAUCCGAGGGCUCCAGGUCUUCCCAAUUACCACAAUAAGGACGUGCCUCGGCCUGUUAGGUCACAUGGCCUCUUGCACUUAUGUAACCAGGCAUGCAAGACUUCGGCUUCGCCCACUUCAGGCCUGGGUAUCAUCGGUGUACCGUCCUUAUCGGGACAACCUGAACAUGGUGAUCACGGUACCGAACUCGGUCCUGACCUCUCUCACAUGGUGGCUGGAUCACAAGGCGGUUGGCGCAGGAAUGCCGUUUCACGCCCCACAACCCUCCCUGCACCUGGUCACGGACGCUUCAUCUCUCGGUUGGGGCGCUCACCUCGGAGAACACCACACCCAGGGCCUGUGGACCGCAUCCCAACUAGCUCUGCACAUCAAUGUUCGAGAGCUGAUGGCCGUGCGUCUAGCCUGUCAGGCAUUUCUCGGUCUCCUGCACGGCCGUUGCAUGUCAGUCCUCUCAGACAACACCACGGCCAUGUUCUACAUCAACAAGCAAGGAGGAGCCCGGUCGUCUCUCCUAUGCCAAGAGGCCAUUCGCCUGUGGGAGUUCUGCAUUGCCCACUCGAUACAUCUCAUGGCAUCGUUCCUCCCUGGAGUCCAGAACGCUCUAGCGGACCGUCUCAGCAGAUCCUUACAGACGCACGAGUGGUUGAUUCGCCCAGACAUCAUCUAUUCCAUCUUCCAGAGGUGGGGAUUUCCCCAGGUCGACCUGUUCGCAUCUCGAGCCAACAGGAAGUGCCAUGUGUUCCGCUCCCUACAGGGGCGAUCUCCGGGCUCCCUGUCGGACGCUUUCCUUCUGACGUGGAAAGACCAGCUAUUCUACGCUUUUCCUCCAUUCCCACUGGUCCACAGGGUACUGCUCAAGCUACGCAGAGACGGGGCAAGUCUGAUUCUAGUCGCUCCAGCUUGGCCAAGACAGCACUGGUACACCACGCUUCUGGAGCUAUGGGUUCAAACUCCGAUCACGCUUCUCUUGUGCCCAGACCUGAUCUCUCAGGACCACGGCAGAUUCUGUCACCCCGACCUGCAAUCGCUCCACCUCACAGCGUGGAUGCUCCAUGGCUAAAUCAGACAGAGAUACAAUGCUCACAUCCCGUGCAACAGAUUCUGCUGGGAAGUAGAAAGCCCUCUACAUGGACCACUUACUUAGCCAAGUGGAAACGGUUCUCCUGUUGGUGCGCACAGCGGGCUACGCCCCCCUUGCAGGCGUCAAUUCCCUUUAUACUCUAAUAUCUCCUAUCCCUGAAACAGCAGGGCUUGGCGAUAUCUUCCAUCAAUGUUCACCUGGCCGCUAUAUCGGCGUUCCACCCAGGAGAACUUGCUUCCUCGGUCUUCUCUAACCCGAUGGUCGUUAGAUUCCUCAAGGGCUUAGACCGGACG
rnacentral:lncRNA from 1 species